GGGCUAGUGGUCUAGGGGUUAUGACGUCGCGCUUACAACGCGGAGGUCAGCGGUUCAAUUCCGCUCUAGCCCA
rnacentral:tRNA from 1 species